rnacentral:rRNA from 1 species
UACAGAGGUCUCAAGCGUUGUUCGGAUUCAUUGGGCGUAAAGGGUGCGUAGGUGGCGCCGUAAGUCAGGCGUGAAAUUUCGGAGCUUAACUCCGAAACUGCAUUUGAUACUGCGGUGCUUGAGGACUGGAGAGGAGACUGGAAUUUACGGUGUAGCAGUGAAAUGCGUAGAGAUCGUAAGGAAGACCAGUGGCGAAGGCGGGUCUCUGGACAGUUCCUGACACUGAGGCACGAAGGCCAGGGGAGCAAACGGG